UAGGCGACCGACCUUUUAGAGGGGGACAACAGUCCGAAAGGAUUGCUAAUACCGCAUGAGGUCUCUGGUGUCAAGCCAGAGAGGAAAGCAGCGAUGCGCUAAGAGGAGGGCCUGCGGCCCAUCAGGUAGUUGGCGGGGUAACGGCCCACCAAGCUGAUGACGGGUAGCUGGUCUGAGAGGAUGGCCAGCCACAUUGGGACUGAGAGACGGCCCAG
rnacentral:rRNA from 1 species